rnacentral:antisense_RNA from 1 species
GGCGCCAGGCGCUCGGGCCGCAAGGGAGCAGGGAGCCCUGCCAGCUGGGCCGCCCGAGGGGCGUUGCGGGGCUCCGGGCGGGGCCGACCCGGGGGGCUGCGCCGGGCCCCACCAGCCUUGCGCCUUUUUCGCUCGGUCUCCUUGGCCUCCCGCUCCUGCGACGCCGCUUUCCUUUUCUCUUGCUCCCGAGCUCGGACCUCGGCCAGGGGCCCCGCCCGCCAGUUGGUCGCCUCCUGCAGCACCCUGGAGGCCCAGGGCCGGCGGGGCGGCGGCUGUGGGGAUCCCGGGCGCGGCCCACACCUGGGACAAUGAGCAGGAACCCAGGGAAUGUGACUUCACUGGACGCAGUAUAAAGAUCUUCAGAUGUCCUCCUGCCGGGGACUGCAGGGAUCACAGAAAGACCACCGAGGUCCAGGAGCUACCUGCAAGCGGAGAUCCCUCUGGACGCCCCCUGCCUCACCCAGCAAAGCCGGAUCACAACCCUGCGCUCUCAAACCUCUAAAAGGGCUUGAGGUGCUAAGAGGAAAGGAGGCCCGAGAUUGCCACGGCAUACGUGGGCUCCAAGGAGGGAGCCAGGAGUCACCGCCUGCUUGGGCUAAGGGUACCGCGUACGGAACGGCGGCGGGGGCGCGGCCCAGUUCUAGGAGAUGCGCCCAACGAAGAAGCGGAGGGACAGGGUCACGGGAUAGGGCAGACACCCGGCUGCUUUUUGUUUGCUAGACACCAGCGCCAGCCCCUGCCCGGCCCUCCCGGUCUCCUAAGGGGGGGGGGGUCUUAGGCUCCACAGCGCCCCCGACCGCCCUCCUGCACUCCUCACCGUCUCCAUUGCAAGAGGCGCCAGCUUGGUUUCCUCGCUUUAGGAAACUCUCUUGGGGCAGGCCCCGCCCCACAUCCGGUGCGGCGACGCCACUUCCGCCCACGUCAUGGCAGUCGCCAGACUGGGGCGGAAGGCAAGGAACCCACCCUUCCGGCGGUGGCGGGCCUCGGUAACCGCCCUCCCCCGCGUCCUCACGGGCCGCACGGAUCCGGCUGACGGCGAGGGUCACGGGACGGAGCCGCUUGUAUUUAAAAUGUUCUUUUUUUAUUUGUCGUUUAAAAACAAACUUGGAAGAAGCAAAAUCCAAAACUUGCCCUUUGCCUCUCGCAACAUAAAUUAUGUACAGUUCAGAAUGAUCGCUGAUACAAAACAUGCCAAGGACAGGGGCGCUGAGGGUGGAGGGAGAGAGGGCGCUUUAAAAAAGGGAACCAUUUCAUCCGUUGUUACGAAGGACCAACCUUGCUGUACAGGAUACACACAACACAAAAUAAAGUCUUCACGGGA